GGUUAAUCAUGAUCCUGUUGUGUCUGGCACUGUUACAUACAUGAACGCUCCUGGGUUCACACCCACCUCCGGCCCGGCUGGGCCAAUCUGGCACCUCUGCCAUCACUAUUUAGGGACAGGAAUUUGAAGUGCUGGCAGGAGGUGUGAGACUGAUACAAGAUGGAGGCGACCAUGCAGACCCCACAGUCAGAGAAGGAGGAAGGAAGGAGGAGCACUAGACCAGAGACCACUCUGCAAGCCGUGUCUCCUCUUCUCCAGACUAAACAGUCCCAGUUCCUGCAGCCUUUCUUCAUAUGAAAGAUGCUCCAUUCCCCUGAUCAUCUUGGUGGCCCUGCGCUGGACUCUCUCCAGAAGUUCUCCGGCCUCUUGAGCUGAGGAGCCCAGAACUGGACACAGUAAUCCAGAUGAGGUGCACUUCAUUAUUUUUUGCCAUCACUGAGUCUUCUUGCCAGGUAGAUGCUGCUACAGGUGUCCAGGGAGAAUAAAUGUUUGUGGAAACCUCAUCAGUGUCAUGUGAGUAGAGCUAAAAAAAAAAAAUAGUAUAAUUUGUUGUGUUAUGGGUUAUUGUGCUGGUCACCGUCCACACCGAAAAAGAAAGUUCUUAAAGCAGAAAA